AUGUUUUUUUUAGACGGUUCGUUACCCUUUCCUGUGACCGCAACAACGGUAGGGCAGGGAACCCCUCCUAAUAGUAGUCAACUAACCGACGUUUUUACUUCGGUGACUUCUAAGACCGGUCAACAGACCCUGAAUGCAGGUUCUGUCGGUUAUCAUGGAGGUGUCCCUACCAUUACCACUGUUACGCACACUUUUUCUAGGCCAGUUGACACCACAGGGUCCAUUUCAUCUUACCCUGGUACCUCUAUGGGUUUAAACUUACCUGGUUCUAGAGCACCAGCGUCCUAUUGUGGCUUCACUUUACCCGCUUCGGCUAGUAAUGCCAUGUCGUGGUCUAGACCUCCUUGGUCUCAGGGUUAUCCUUAUUCAGGCUUUCCUGGUCAGGGGUUUCAUGGUCAAGGGUUUCCUGGUCAAGGUUUUCCUAAUCAGGUUUUUCCUAGUCAGGUUCCUAGUCAGCCCUUUCCAGGUUUCUGGCCUUAUUGUGGACCAACACCAGUUAUUGUUCCUCAGAGUACUACACCUAAUCUGUCAGUUCCUGCUCCUCCUUUAGCAGUGUCUAGUAGUUGUAGUAGUGUAUCUGUACCUGCUGCUCUGCCUACCUCUUCUGUUAGGCAUCAGUUUAAUCAGGUAGCUGACUCUGGCCCCUCCUUAGAUGGGUUCAAGAGUAUUUUGGACGAUUUUCGUCAGUCUAUUUCUUCUGAAUUGACUUCUUUCUCCAACCGCCUGGGUACGCUAGAGAACAUUGCCAAUAAGUCAAAUUCUCCAGUGAUUUCACUCCGUCCAGAUCAUGAUAUUGGAAGUGACCUGGAGGACAGUGAUGAGGAAGAACGCUUUUCAGUUGCCCCAGGCAGCCAAGAAGAAGGUUUUACUUCUGAUGAAGAUGACAAUUCAGUUCAGGUCUCUCAGAAUGUUUCGCAACCUUCUGUUCCUGUGUCUAUCUCUUCAUCUGUAAUUGGUCAGUCUUCUACCAAUUCCAGUAAAGAACCAGAGGCUGAAGAUGCUCCUUCCACUUUGAAGGAUCUCAGAGAUUCUGUUUAUACAAUCAUGAGAGAUGUCAACAAGGUGCCAUUUCAGUCUCCUCCAAGACCCAAGAAACUAACCUCUACUUUCGAGGCUUCAUGUGGUCUGUCCGUAGACGAUACUAAAUCUCAUACUAGUUUUCCACAAUCUAACCAUAUGUCUAACUCUCUGCAGAUCAUUAAUGAUGGGAUUGUGGCUAAUGAGUCCCAAUUUUCCCAAGUUAGUGGUUUUGGUCUUGCCUCAUUUACUGAGCAAUUCCGCUCUAAAGACUAUGACAUUUUUGACUCUACCUUGGGUAAACUGGUACCCAAAUGUGACAAGGUUUUUUCAUCUACUAUUGCUUCUAAACCCGCCGAUGGACUGCGUCUUACUCAGUCUGUUUGGUCAAAAACGGAGAACCUUCUUAGAAACGCAUCUCAUGUGUUAGGCACUGCUGAACACUUUUUAUCAGCAGUUGCUCCAGUUCUUAAAGACUCUUCUCUUCCACCAGAGGUCAAAACCUUUUCUAUUACAGGUAGACAAGGCUUUGGGUGCCUCCCAAUUGUUGAUUAUGGGUUCCAUCGCCAACUGCACCUUAUCCAAAAGAUCUGAAAUUUUGGAUAAGGCAAAGGUGUCAGAUAAUCUUAAGGAUGCUUUAAUCAAGUCUCCAUUGGAUGAGAAGAUUUUCGGGUUACCACUUGAUGAGGUACAGAAGCAUCUCAAUCAAACUCCAGCCCCAGUGAAGGUAAAUGUAUCUCUUUCUGGAAAUAAUUCUAAACGAGGUAGUUAUUCCUUCCGCUGGAGGCUCAUCUUAUAAUUCUCAAGAGAAGAGGAGGAAAAUCACUAACGAUGGAGGUAAUAAACCUAAGAAAUCUUCAAUCCCUAGGUCUAAACCUAACAGUUUUAAGAGAGGUGGCAAGAGGGCCAAUCCCUCUUCCUAGGAAGUUGCCCCUCGUACGUUACUGUCAGAACCCAAUCCAGAGAUGUACUACAAAACUCCUCUUUCUCAAUUGCCAGUAGGGGGAGGUUAACUCAUUUUCUAAAAAAAUGGAUAAGUAUUACCUCAGAUUGUUGGGUUCUGUCAGUAAUUCGAGGGGGAUUGACUCUUCAAUUCAAAGAACAACCACCUCUUUCUCCUGUUCCUAUCCCACUGUCCAAUACUCAAGAUCCACAGAAGUUUCUUCUUCUGUCAACAGAAGUAGAGACUCUUUUGACAAAGAGGGCAGUGGAGGAAGUCCCUGUAUCUUCAAUAGAUCCAGGUUUCUAUUCUCGUCUCUUCCUUGUAUCGAAGAAGACCGGAGGAAUGAGACCAGUCAUCGAUUUGUCUAUCCUCAAUUCUUAUAUGAUUAUUCCCCAUUUCAAAAUGGAGACCAAUCGUUCAAUAAGAGCUUCUAUUCUUCCAGGUAUGUGGACAACAUCCCUGGAUCUGACGGACGCUUAUUUUCAUGUUCCAGUUUGCCAUUCAUACCGCAAAUUCCUUCGGUUUGUUUGGAACAAAAGGGUUUACCAAUUCAGGGCUCUCCCUUUUGGUCUGUCAACUGCACCACUAGCCUUUACCAAACUCAUGCAGGUAGCAAUUGCUCACCUUCAUUCACAGGCUAUUCAGAUUCAUUCUUACCUGGACGACUCACUGAUCAAGGAACUUUCUCCCGAGAAACUCUAUCUCAAUACCGAUGUAGUCAUCAGAUUGUUUCUCUCUCUGGGGUUUCUCAUUUCUUGGAAAAAGUCGGACCUCAUUCCGUCUCAGGACUUUAUUUUCCUAGGCGAACAUUACCUUACUCGUCAGUGCAUAGUUUCAGAAUCUUUGUUCAAAAAUUCGUCUGUUUCUAUCUCAAAAAAUAGUUACUGCUCGCCAGUUUUCACAACUGCUAGGUCUCUUGAAUUCACUAGCGGAUGUUGUUCCACUUGGUCGCCUUCACAUUCGACCUCUUCAAUUUUAUCUACAUCAACAUUGGCUCCCAGCUACACAGGAUUGGGAAUUUCCAGUUCCAAUCAUUCAUCAGGAAUUGUUUCCUCAUUUGGUUUGGUGGACUUCUCAAGCAAACGUUUUGAGAGGCCAACUUCUGUCCUCUCCAGUUCCAAAUCAGACUCUGUUCACAGAUGCCUCCAACCUCGGUUGGGGAGCUUAUCUGGAAGGUCUUUCAGUGUCAGGAGUGUGGACUCCAGAUCUUUUGAAGGAACACAUCAACAUACUAGAAAUGAAGGCAGUUCUUCUUGCACUGUCUCAUUUUCAGUCCCUACUGCAGAACAAAUCUCUGGUUCUAGCAACGGACAACACCACUGUGGUGGCUUAUUUGCGAAACCAAGGGGGAACUCAUUGUUACGAGCUGUAUCUUUUAGCAAGAGAAAUCCUCCUUCUUUGCAAUCACCUUCAUCUACAGAUUGUAGUUCGUCAUGUCCCAGGGAAACUCAAUGUGUUAGCAGAUGCUCUGUCAAGAACACUUACCCCAGUCAAUACAGAGUGGGAACUUCUCCAAUCAGUAUUUCAGGCAAUAACACUUCAGUGGGGGUCUCCUCAUGUAGACCUGUUUGCAACAAGCCUCAAUUACAAAGUUCAAGUGUUCAUGUCUCCUGUACCAGAUCCGAAAGCUUACGCAGUAGACUGCAUGAGUGUUCCUUGGGACGGGAUGUUCGCUUACGCCUUCCCACCGUUCAGAUUUCUGUCACAAGUUCUUCGGAAGAUCUCAGCAGAGCAAGGGUUGAUCAUUCUUAUUGCUCCAGCUUGGCCCAAACAAGCCUGGUUUCCAGAUCUUCUUCAUCUGUCUUGUGCUCGUCCACUGGUUCUACCAGUACGACACAAUCUUCUGUCCCAGUUCAAGGGCAAGAUACUUCAUCCCAAUCCAGAGAAGCUACAUCUGUUCGCGUGGCUUCUCUCAGGGAUAGCUUCAAGGAGAGAGGUUUUUCUGAAUGCGCAGCCAGACAUCUCUCCAGAGCAGUUAGAGAUUCCACUAACAUCGUCUAUGAUGCCAAGUGGACUAUCUUCAGUAGUUGGUGUAGUGAGAAGGAAAUUGAUCCUUUCCAAAUUUCUGUACAACAACUAGCAGACUUUCUGAUCCACCUUUUUGAAGAGAAAGGAUUAUCUCCCUCUACUAUUAAAGGCUAUAGAUCAGCUAUUUCUAGGACGAUUCAACUGUCUGGAGGUCCAGACUUUGGUAAUAAUGAAUUCAUUUCUCUUUUAGUUAAGAAUUUCACUCUUGAACGCCCUAGACAGAGAGUUUUAAUCCCGUCUUGGAAUUUGAGUGUUGUUUUAUCAGCUUUAAAAACCCAUCCUUUUGAACCUGCUGAAAAGGUUGAAAUCAAGUUUUUAUCGUAUAAGUGUUGUUUCCUUCUUGCCUUGGCCUCUGGUAGAAGAAGAAGUGAAAUUCAUGCUUUUUCCACUGCUGAUUACUGCCUUCGUUUUAAUAGGGAUAAGUCAUCUGUUACCCUAUUAACGGAUCCAGCUUUUUUAGCCAAAAAUCAAAUUCCGGGUAGAGGUUCAGAACCGAUAGUGAUUCCAGCCCUUCCUGAUGAUUCAAGUUCUAAAGUACUCUGUCCUAUCCGAGUCUUACUUUUAUAUCUUCAGAGAACUCGAAGUCUCCGCACCUCCUCAAAUUCCAGGUUAUUUAUUCCUAUUAACAAAGGAAAACAAGAUUUGUCUGCUAAAACCAUUUCAACUUGGAUCUGUAAAACUAUUCAAUUAGCUUACAGUUUUUCUAAUGAAGAACUUCUGAAUAGUAUGCAUGUUAAAGCCCAUGAUGUUAGAGCUAUUUCUACCUCCUGGGCCCUGUUUAAUAAUGCUUCUUUAGAGGAAGUCUUAUCUGCAGGUUUCUGGAGAACUGAAAAUUCUUUCAUUUCUCACUAUCUGCAGUCUUUAGCUACUCAAGCUCAGAGUUUGUACUCCUUAGGACCUUUAGUUUCCGCACAAAGAGUUGUUUUUCCUCCUGCAUCUUCUGGUUCAGGGGAUUCAGCUUUGUGUUAG
rnacentral:sRNA from 1 species